rnacentral:rRNA from 1 species
AUAGCGUAUAUUAAAGUUGUUGCAGUUAAAAAGCUCGUAGUUGAAUUUGGGCCCUAGCUGGGCGGUCCGUCUAACGGCGAGUACUGCCUUUCAAGCUGGGGCUUAUCCUCUUGUGUGAACCCAGUCGUACUUUGUGCGGUUGGGGGAACCAGGGAAAUUACUUUGAAAAAAUUAGAGUGUUCAAAGCAGGCCUCACGGCUCGAAUAGAUUAGCAUGGAAUAAGGGAACAGGACGUUGCGGUCCCGUUUCGUUGGUUUUUGGGAUCGCCGUAAUGAUUAAUAGGGACGGUCGGGGGCAUUAGUAUUCACAAGCUAGAGGUGAAAUUCUUGGAUUUUGUGAAGACUAACUUCUG